GACAGGUUAGCUCAGUCGGUAGAGCAUGAGACUCUUAAUCUCAGGGUCGUGGGUUUGUGGGUUCGAGCCCCACAUUGGGCUUCA